CCUACGGGCGGCAGCAGUGAGGAAUAUUGGUCAAUGGCCGGAAGGCUGAACCAGCCAUGCCGCGUGAAGGUCAGUGCCCUAUGGGCGUUAAACUUCUUUUGUGCGGGAGCAAUAAUGGUCACGUGUGGCCAGACGAGAGUACCGUACGAAUAAGCAUCGGCUAACCCCGUGCCAGCAGCCGCGGUAAUACGGGGGAUGCAAGCGUUAUCCGGAUUUAUUGGGUUUAAAGGGUGCGUAGGCUGUGAGGUAAGUCAGCGGUGAAAUGCCCCCGCUCAACGGGGUGAAGUGCCAUUGAAACUGCCAUGCUGGAAUGCGGAUGCCGUGGGAGGAAUGUGUGGUGUAGCGGUGAAAUGCAUAGAGAUCACACAGAACACCGAUUGCGAAGGCAUCUCACGAAUCCGCGAUUGACGCUGAUGCACGAAAGCGUGGGUAUCAAACAGGAUUAGAUACCCCAGUAGUC
rnacentral:rRNA from 1 species